rnacentral:tRNA from 1 species
GGGUCCAUAGCUCAGUGGUAGAGCAAUUGACUGCAGAUCAAUAGGUCAACGGUUCGAACCUGGUUGGGCCCU